UAUGUUCAGUGGUGUGCAUUAUUAGCAUUGCUCAAGCUGCAGGUAGCUUCAGGGAAGUGAAGGGGAGGAAAAAGAGUAGCUGCUCCAGCACAAAACUACUAGCAUUACAUAAGCACAGAAAAAGGUAUGAUCCUCUUCAGACAUCUUCCCACGCCGAAGGUGAAUGGGGUGAAGAUCUUAGGCGGACUUCACGGUGGCGGAGUUGAUGAUGUCGAUGAAUUCAGGCUACAGAACAAAGAAAGGGAGACGAAAACCAUCAACAUCAGGCUUUGCUGCCAGCUCCUUGCAGUUCGCACCAGUUACGGAACCUCAUAGGUAACAAUUAUGGAACGUGCAGAAGUUCAUGAAUGAACACUUUGUGUGCUUAUCAAUAUAAGAAACUUACUUCUUGUGCUUGAUCUGGUGUAGCAACUUUACCAGUUCCAAUGGCCCACACAGGUUCAUAGGCAACAACCACAUUAGUCCAAUCCUUGAUCCUUUCUAAAUUGCUUUUGUUUGUGCAGCAACAACAUCCAUGGUCGAACCAGAUUCCCGCUGCUCGAGAGUCUCACCAACACAUGCAAUGACCUUCAAGCCCUGAGAGAGCGCAUAUGCCACUUUGUCUCCAACAAACUCAUUUGAUUCACCCAACAAACUCCUCCUUUCAGAGUGUCCAAGAAUAACCCAGGGAAUACUAAGGUUGACAAGCAUCUCAGCGCUGCAUUUCACCGGUGAAAGCCCCGCCCUUCUUCACCCAACAAUUCUGAGCAGCAACUUGGAUCUCCGGGCGCAGCUGACUCUUGACCACGGGAAGGAACACAUAAGGUGGGCUGACAACCACCUCUGCAGCACAAUGAAGCAAUCUGUCCCUCAUUCAGAAUUUUCACAAUUUUGUCCACCUGAUCAGUGAAAAAAAUUACGCAUUUCCAGUUGCCACCAACGAAGAACUUGCGGCCCAUCUCGACGAGAAGCUGAUUAGAUGGAACUGGACGCGGGGGGGGGGGGGGGG
rnacentral:sRNA from 1 species